rnacentral:lncRNA from 1 species
AAUUAAAUUGGUGCCGUGAUUCUUUUGUUCAUUUUGAGUAUAAAUAGGGCAAUUUGACUCCGUUUAGUCACCACUUCAAAAGGGAGGUACCUCAUUAUUAUUAUUUCAAUGUCAAUUACGUGCUCUUAUGUGCUCUUACGUGCUCCUAUAUGUUUAUAUAUUUUUAUAUGCUUUGUUUAUUUGAUUUGAAUGUUCAUUUAAAUUUUCUUAUACUUGUUUAGUUAAUUUUAUAAUUAUUUGAGAGGCAUUUAAAUACCUCAAAAAAUGUAAUAGAUAGGAUAAUUAGAUUUGUUUUAUUUUAUUUCCCCUUUUAGAUUGUAGUUAGGCGCUCCCCGAUGUAAUAGAUAGGUUGUGUGCUUAUGUGGCUUAUGUGUUACGUGCCUUACUUGCUUUCCUUAGGAUUUUUGCAUCUAGAUAUUAUGCUUAUGUGUUACGUGCUACGUGCUCUUAUGUGUUUAUUUGUUUUAAUUUAUGUCUACUUGUCUUAUUAUGUAUUAAAAAUGCAUGACGUCACCACACUAGUCCAACGCUAGUUGUGGUUUCUCCCUCCGUUUACUUGCUAGUCCAACGCUAGUAAGGAUUUUUAGAAAUGGGUUAGUCCAACGCUAGACCCUUAGAUCGUUCGUGCGUUAGAUUCAUUUUUGUGUGAUAUUUAUUACAUUUUCACGCAUAUUUUCAUUUUUAGGAUCUUUUCCCAUUUGCAUGAUAUUUCCUAUUAUAUUAUCCCCUAU